CCUACGGGUGGCUGCAGUGAGGAAUAUUGGUCAAUGGGCGCGAGCCUGAACCAGCCAAGUAGCGUGAAUGAUGACUGCCCUACGGGCUGUAAACUUCUUUUAUAAAGGAAUAAAGUGAUGCACGUGUCCCUUUUUGUAUGUACUUUAUGAAUAAGGAUCGGCUAACUACGUGCCAGCAGCCGCGGUAAUACGGUGGAUCCGAGGGUUAUCCGGAUUUAUUGGGUUUAAAGGGAGCGUAGAUGGGUUGUUAAGUCAGUUGUGAAAGUUUGCGGCUUAACCGGAAAAUUGCAAUUGAUACUGGCAGUCUUGAGUACAGUUGAGGUAGGCGGAAUUCGAGGUGUAGCGGUGAAAUGCGUAGAUAUCACGAAGAACUCCAAUGGCGAAGGCAGCUUACUAAACUGCCACUGACAUUGAUGCUCGAAAGUGUGGGUAUCAAACAGGAUUAGAUACCCGUGUAGUC
rnacentral:rRNA from 1 species